CCCGCUGUCCUGUCCCCAGCUCUCUGUCCUGUCCCCAGCUCUCUGUCCGGUCCCGCUCAUCUCGCCUGGCUCCCCAGGCUCGCUGCCCGUAGCCGAAAUCACCAGAAGCCAUUCCCCCUUGUCGUGGCACUUGUAAACAUCCUUCUCUCCAUCCUUCUCUCCAUCCUUCUCUCCAUCCUUCUCUCCAUCCUUCUCUCCAUCCUUCUCUCCAUCCUUCUCUCCAUCCUUCUCUCCAUCCUUCUCUCCAUCCUUCUAGCAGGCCCCCUCCCGGCACCGGAACGCCCCGAUAAAUUCACCACAAAGCUUUUUAUUCUCCAUGCGGGCCAGUCCCAGCUCUGUCACCCUUUCCUCACGGCACAGACGCUCCGUCCCUCAAACCAUCCCCAGGGCCUCCUCUGGACUUGCUGUGACAGCCCGAUGUGCUGGCAGGGCUGGGCAACUCUGCAGGUGGGGUCUCACCUGAGCGGGGCAGGAUCCCCCUCCCCUGCUGCCCGGGGAUCAGGGCAGGUUCUGGCUCCUGAGCUCUCCCCACCAGCACCCAGCUCCUGCUCAUCCCCCAGGCUGCCCUGGUACCGUGCUGGCCCCAGUCCAGGGGUGGCACCAGCACAUGGCCUUGCUAAACCCGUGAGAAUGUUGGGCUGGAACAGGCUCCUGACUUGGGUUUUCGUGGCUUGCUGAACUGGAGUGUCUCGUGACAUGGCUAAUGAGAACAUCCCUCAGGAAUAACUCUCAGUGCCAGCAGACCACGUCAGAAACGCCACGGCAAGGACAGCCCUGGAGCCAGCAGCCCACAGCUGUUACACCUCCAUGGUCCCUGCGGUGCUGGUUCCCAGGUUUUCACUUUAAAUUGAUGCUGUUUUCUUCCCCAGCACGUUUUGAGGUGGGUGCGUCAGUCACUGCUCCUCAGUAACGCGUGCGAGGCAGUCAUUAUUUCAAGGGAAGUUGUAAGAGGAUUACAAUGGAAGGGUAUCAUUUAAGAACAGUUUUCCAAUGGCAAAGAAUAGUUCUCAAAGAAUAUUUCUUUGAAAACUCAGAAAGAAUUUGCUCUCAAAUAAAAAGAUAGAACACUUUUAUACAAGACAGUAAUUUUAGCUUUGUUUGGGUAUAGGUUUGUGUUUAAAUACACUGUGAAUCUGAAUUAUCAGCUUUCCUCCUUCCUUUCUCCUGCCUUUACAUUCUGUAGGAAAAGGAUGAAAGAUGCCAUCAAACAGCUCCAGUCAGUUGUCAUUUCUUUCUCAUUCUCCACUGGUAUUUGGGCAAUGAAAUCCAGAGCACAGAGUCAAAGUCUUUUCCCAAUAAAUUUUCAAGAUGUAGUAUAGGAAAAGGAUUAGGACUUAGAGAUAUGUUUGUCCUCAUGCCAGAGGGAGGUUUUAUUCCACUCCAUCUCCUAAUUCUUUUCCCUGUGCAGAGACAGACAGUGCAACACAGGUUUGUUCAAUUCAUUCUUCAUUGAGCAGGUUGUGAAUGCUUUUACCUUCCAAACAGAAGUCAAAUAGGAGACAAAUAACAGAUCUUAACUUGAAAAGAGUCUCCCUUUCUGUUCCUUGGGCACUGGUGGCUGACACCAGUUUGAAACCAGUGAGGAGCGAGCAGUGCAAGGUGUGGAUCCCUCAGCCACAGCUGCGUGUCAGAGCGCCAGCACAGCUCAGUGACAGCCCCAGACACCCGAGGACAAGGGCCAGCCAUCACCACUGCCAGUCCUGCAGGAGGGAACAAGGAAAAUCCACAACCUGCUCUGCAGUGGUCCAGUGUAGGAAAGGGAAAUGGAGAGAAAAUUCUGCCUUCUUACAUAUCCCGGUCUCCAGGGAAACAGAGAACCACUUUGUGUUUGAAAUGAGGGAGUUUAAAUAAAAGCUGACUUUCACAGUAA